rnacentral:tRNA from 1 species
GCCCCCGUAGCUCAUCUGGAUAGAGCGUAGGAUUCCUAAUCCUGAGGCAGUGGGUUCGAGUCCCGCCGGGGGUACCA